UGGGAACGUACCCUUUGGUUCGGAACAACCCAGGGAAACUUGGGCUAAUACCGAAUACGUCCGUAAGGAGAAAGAUUUAUCGCUGAAGGAUCGGCCCGCGUCUGAUUAGCUAGUUGGUGAGGUAACGGCUCACCAAGGCGACGAUCAGUAGCUGGUCUGAGAGAAUGAUCAGCCUCACUGGGACUGAGACACGGCCCAGACUCCUACGGGAGGCAG
rnacentral:rRNA from 1 species